rnacentral:rRNA from 1 species
UACAGAGGGGGCAAGCGUUGUUCGGAAUUACUGGGCGUAAAGGGCGCGUAGGCGGCCUGCUAAGUCGAACGUGAAAUCCCCGGGCUCAACCCGGGAACUGCGUCCGAUACUGGCAGGCUUGAAUCCGGGAGAGGGAUGUGGAAUUCCAGGUGUAGCGGUGAAAUGCGUAGAUAUCUGGAGGAACACCGGUGGCGAAGGCGGCGUCCUGGACCAACACUGACACUGAUGAGCGAAAGCCAGGGGAGCAAACGGG